rnacentral:rRNA from 1 species
UCGGAAUCGCUAGUAAUCGCGGAUCAGCAUGCCGCGGUGAAUACGUUCCCGGGCCUUGUACACACCGCCCGUCACACCAUGAGAGUUUGUAACACCCAAAGCCGGUGGGGUAACCUUUUGGAGCCAGCCGUCUAAGGUGGGACAGAUGAUUGGGGUGAAGUCGUAACAAGGUAAC